AGGAGACAGACAGAACCAUUUGUUUUCUUUAGGCACCAUUCUUCACAAUAUAAAAAAGCUAACCAGUAAACAAUACAAGAAAAUAAAUUAUUUUUGGACAACCACAAAAUCCUACGGAGAUCUGGCAUUGUUAAAGCUCAAAGUGUAAAACUAUGGAUCCAUAUCAGAAUCCCAGCCCGAAAGGGUACCAGAGACAGAGGCCAUUUGGCUCAGCCGGUGAAGGUGGCAGCAGCGGCGGCUCCGAUAUACCCCGUGAAAUAGAUGACAAUAAGAAGAAAAAGAAGCUUCUCCACCGCGACAUCGAACGCCAGAGAAGACAAGAGAUGGCUACACUCUUUGCUUCGCUUCGUUCUCACUUACCUCUCCAAUACAUUAAGGGGAAGAGAGCUGUUUCGGAUCAUGUAAACGGAGCGGUGAAUUUCAUUAAGGACACGGAAACACGGAUUAAAGAACUUAGUGCAAGAAGAGACGAGCUAAGCAGAGAAACAUGUCAUACAUAUAAAUCGAGUCCGGAUCCGGCAAGAACUGGAUCCGAGUUAGGCAAAUCGUAUCCGGCGAGUGUGAUGGUGCAACCAUGCGUGAGCGGUUUCGAAGUGGCGGUGAGCAGCAACUCGUCAGGUCCCGAAGCUUUGCCACUCUCAAGAGUGCUUGAGACACUUCAGGAGCUAGGACUUGAAGUCAUCAGCUGUCUCACCACAAGAGUCAAUGAGAGGCUCAUGCACACUAUUCAAGUCGAGGUUAAUAGUUUUGGAUGCCUGGACUUAGCUUGGUUGCAGCAGAAGCUAGUUGAGGAGUUGAUACUUUAGACGGGAUUUGGUAUUGAAGCUUGUUAGUGGAUAUAAGAAAAGCGUUUUUUGUAGAUACCAUCUGUUCGUUGCUCCAAUAGAAAUAUCUAAAGCAUUCAUGAAACUUCAUCUUGGAAAGCUGGCCAUGAAAUAUACUCUUGGAUGGAGGCAUAGCCUCGGUUUAAACAAAUUCAAGUUCGUGUUGCAGUUUUUUGUUUUGAUAAGUGCGUAUUGCAGUUAUGUUUCAAAAGGAUUUUAUGCAUGGGUAGGUCAUAAAGUUCACCAUCAUUCAACGCAGAACCGUAAAGACUGAGGUUGUGAUGUUUGCAAUAGAUCAUUUUUCUCACAAUAAGGUUUUUGUGUGUGUUGCUUUACAUUUGCUUCUUAUCAGCUCCAAAUUUCAGCUAUCAGGUUUCCCUUUUAUUAUUAGCAUCUUUUGUGCCAUUUCAUUGUUAUGUGUUCAUGCGGGUUUUUAGUAUGUAUAUAAGG